rnacentral:rRNA from 1 species
AGUGAACGCUGGCGGUAGGCCUAACACAUGCAAGUCGAACGGCAGCACAGUAAGAGCUUGCUCUUACGGGUGGCGAGUGGCGGACGGGUGAGGAAUACAUCGGAAUCUACUUUUUCGUGGGGGAUAACGUAGGGAAACUUACGCUAAUACCGCAUACGACCUACGGGUGAAAGCAGUGGAUCUUUGGACCUUGCGCGAUUGAAUGAGCCGAUGUCGGAUUAGCUAGUUGGCGGGGUAAAGGCCCACCAAGGCGACGAUCCGUAGCUGGUCUGAGAGGAUGGUCAGCCACACUGGAGCUGAGACACGGUCCAGACUCCUACGAGAGGCAGCAGUGGGGAAUAUUGGACAAUGGGCGCAAGCCUGAUCCAGCCAUACCGCGUGGGUGAAGAAGGCCUUCGGGUUGUAAAGCCCUUUUGUUGGGAAAGAAAAGCAGCAGGUUAAUACCCCGCUGCUCUGACGGUACCCAAAGAAUAAGCACCGGCUAACUUCGUG